CUACGGGUGGCUCCAGUGGGGAAUAUUGCACAAUGGACGAAAGCCUGAUGCAGCAACGCCGCGUGAGGGACGACGGCCUUCGGGUUGUAAACCUCUUUUAGCAGGGAGGAAGCGAAAGUGACGGUACCUGCAGAAAAAGCACCGGCUAACUACGUGCCAGCAGCCGCGGUAAUACGUAGGGUGCAAGCGUUGUCCGGAAUUAUUGGGCGUAAAGAGCUCGUAGGCGGUUUGUCGCGUCUGCUGUGAAAAUCCGAGGCUCAACCUCGGACCUGCAGUGGGUACGGGCAAACUAGAGUGCGGUAGGGGAGAUUGGAAUUCCUGGUGUAGCGGUGGAAUGCGCAGAUAUCAGGAGGAACACCAAUGGCGAAGGCAGAUCUCUGGGCCGUAACUGACGCUGAGGAGCGAAAGCGUGGGGAGCGGACAGGAUUAGAUACCCGCGUAGUC
rnacentral:rRNA from 1 species